GGGUUGUGAGGUUAAGCGACUAAGCGUACACGGUGGAUGCCCUGGCAGUCAGAGGCGAUGAAGGGCGUGCUAAUCUGCGAUAAGCGCCGGUAAGGUGAUAUGAACCGUUAUAACCGGCGAUACCCGAAUGGGGAAACCCAGUGUGAUUCGUCACACUAUCAUUAACUGAAUCCAUAGGUUAAUGAGGCGAACCGGGGGAACUGAAACAUCUAAGUACCCCGAGGAAAAGAAAUCAACCGAGAUUCCCCCAGUAGCGGCGAGCGAACGGGAGGAGCCCAGAGCCUGAAUCAGCAUGUGUGUUAGUGGAAGCGUCUGGAAAGGCGCGCGAUACAGGGUGACAGCCCCGUACACAAAAGCGCAUGUGCUGUGAGCUCGAUGAGUAGGGCGGGACACGUGGUAUCCUGUCUGAAUAUGGGGGGACCAUCCUCCAAGGCUAAAUACUCCUGACUGACCGAUAGUGAACCAGUACCGUGAGGGAAAGGCGAAAAGAACCCCGGCGAGGGGAGUGAAAAAGAACCUGAAACCGUGUACGUACAAGCAGUGGGAGCACAGGUUUACCUGUGUGACUGCGUACCUUUUGUAUAAUGGGUCAGCGACUUAUAUUCUGUAGCAAGGUUAACCGAAUAGGGGAGCCGGAGGGAAACCGAGUCUUAAUUGGGCGUUAAGUUGCAGGGUAUAGACCCGAAACCCGGUGAUCUAGCCAUGGGCAGGUUGAAGGUUGGGUAACACUAACUGGAGGACCGAACCGACUAAUGUUGAAAAAUUAGCGGAUGACCUGUGGCUGGGGGUGAAAGGCCAAUCAAACCGGGAGAUAGCUGGUUCUCCCCGAAAGCUAUUUAGGUAGCGCCUCGUGAAUUCAUCUCCGGGGGUAGAGCACUGUUUCGGCUAGGGGGCCAUCCCGGCUUACCAACCCGAUGCAAACUGCGAAUACCGGAGAAUGUUAUCACGGGAGACACACGGCGGGUGCUAACGUCCGUCGUGAAGAGGGAAACAACCCAGACCGCCAGCUAAGGUCCCAAAGUCAUGGUUAAGUGGGAAACGAUGUGGGAAGGCCCAGACAGCCAGGAUGUUGGCUUAGAAGCAGCCAUCAUUUAAAGAAAGCGUAAUAGCUCACUGGUCGAGUCGGCCUGCGCGGAAGAUGUAACGGGGCUAAACCAUGCACCGAAGCUGCGGCAGCGACGCUUAUGCGUUGUUGGGUAGGGGAGCGUUCUGUAAGCCUGUGAAGGUGUGUCGUGAGGCAUGCUGGAGGUAUCAGAAGUGCGAAUGCUGACAUAAGUAACGAUAAAGCGGGUGAAAAGCCCGCUCGCCGGAAGACCAAGGGUUCCUGUCCAACGUUAAUCGGGGCAGGGUGAGUCGACCCCUAAGGCGAGGCCGAAAGGCGUAGUCGAUGGGAAACGGGUUAAUAUUCCCGUACUUGGUGUUACUGCGAAGGGGGGACGGAGAAGGCUAUGUUGGCCGGGCGACGGUUGUCCCGGUUUAAGCGUGUAGGUGUGUGUUCCAGGUAAAUCCGGUUCACUUUAACACUGAGGCGUGACGACGAGGCACUACGGUGCUGAAGCAACAAAUGCCCUGCUUCCAGGAAAAGCCUCUAAGCAUCAGGUAACAUCAAAUCGUACCCCAAACCGACACAGGUGGUCAGGUAGAGAAUACCAAGGCGCUUGAGAGAACUCGGGUGAAGGAACUAGGCAAAAUGGUGCCGUAACUUCGGGAGAAGGCACGCUGACACGUAGGUGAAGUGAUUUACUCAUGGAGCUGAAGUCAGUCGAAGAUACCAGCUGGCUGCAACUGUUUAUUAAAAACACAGCACUGUGCAAACACGAAAGUGGACGUAUACGGUGUGACGCCUGCCCGGUGCCGGAAGGUUAAUUGAUGGGGUCAGCGCAAGCGAAGCUCCUGAUCGAAGCCCCGGUAAACGGCGGCCGUAACUAUAACGGUCCUAAGGUAGCGAAAUUCCUUGUCGGGUAAGUUCCGACCUGCACGAAUGGCGUAAUGAUGGCCAGGCUGUCUCCACCCGAGACUCAGUGAAAUUGAACUCGCUGUGAAGAUGCAGUGUACCCGCGGCAAGACGGAAAGACCCCGUGAACCUUUACUAUAGCUUGACACUGAACAUUGAGCCUUGAUGUGUAGGAUAGGUGGGAGGCUUUGAAGUGUGGACGCCAGUCUGCAUGGAGCCGACCUUGAAAUACCACCCUUUAAUGUUUGAUGUUCUAACGUGGACCCGUUACCCGGGUUGCGGACAGUGUCUGGUGGGUAGUUUGACUGGGGCGGUCUCCUCCUAAAGAGUAACGGAGGAGCACGAAGGUUGGCUAAUCCUGGUCGGACAUCAGGAGGUUAGUGCAAUGGCAUAAGCCAGCUUGACUGCGAGCGUGACGGCGCGAGCAGGUGCGAAAGCAGGUCAUAGUGAUCCGGUGGUUCUGAAUGGAAGGGCCAUCGCUCAACGGAUAAAAGGUACUCCGGGGAUAACAGGCUGAUACCGCCCAAGAGUUCAUAUCGACGGCGGUGUUUGGCACCUCGAUGUCGGCUCAUCACAUCCUGGGGCUGAAGUAGGUCCCAAGGGUAUGGCUGUUCGCCAUUUAAAGUGGUACGCGAGCUGGGUUUAGAACGUCGUGAGACAGUUCGGUCCCUAUCUGCCGUGGGCGCUGGAGAACUGAGGGGGGCUGCUCCUAGUACGAGAGGACCGGAGUGGACGCAUCACUGGUGUUCGGGUUGUCAUGCCAAUGGCACUGCCCGGUAGCUAAAUGCGGAAGAGAUAAGUGCUGAAAGCAUCUAAGCACGAAACUUGCCCCGAGAUGAGUUCUCCCUGAGACUUAGAGUCUCCUGAAGGAACGUUGAAGACGACGACGUUGAUAGGCCGGGUGUGUAAGCGCAGCGAUGCGUUGAGCUAACCGGUACUAAUGAACCGUGAGGCUUAACCUUACAACGCCGAAG
rnacentral:rRNA from 1 species